rnacentral:rRNA from 1 species
CCUACGGGAGGCAGCAGUGAGGAAUAUUGGUCAAUGGGCGCGAGCCUGAACCAGCCAAGUAGCGUGAAGGAUGACUGCCCUACGGGUUGUAAACUUCUUUUAUAAAGGAAUAAAGUGAGGCACGUGUGCCUUUUUGCAUGUACUUUAUGAAUAAGGAUCGGCUAACUCCGUGCCAGCAGCCGCGGUAAUACGGAGGAUCCGAGCGUUAUCCGGAUGUAUUGGGUUUAAAGGGAGCGUAGAUGGGUUGUUAAGUCAGUUGUGAAAGUUUGCGGCUCAACCGUAAAAUUGCAAUUGAUACUGGCAGUCUGGAGUACAGUUGAGGUAGGCGGAAUUCGUGGUGUAGCGGUGAAAUGCUUAGAUAUCACGAAGAACUCCGAUUGCGAAGGCAGCUUACUAAACUGCCACUGACAUUGAUGCUCGAAAGUGUGGGUAUCAAACAGGAUUAGAGACCCGGGUAGUC